GUACGGGGGGGGCGAAGCGUUGUUUCGGAAUUACUGGGCGUAAAGGGCUCGUAGGCGGCCAACUAAGUCAGACGUGAAAUCCCUCGGCUUAACCGGGGAACUGCGUCUGAUACUGGAUGGCUUGAGAUUGGGAGAGGGAUGCGGAAUUCCAGGUGUAGCGGUGAAAUGCGUAGAUAUCUGGAGGAACACCGGUGGCGAAGGCG
rnacentral:rRNA from 1 species